ACCUUGUCUUUUAUAUGAUUCCCAGAACGUUGUAUUUUAUAUGAUUCCCAGAACGUUGUAUUUGAUUCCCAGAACGUUGUAUUUGAUUCCCAGAACGUUGUAUUUGAUUCCCAGAACGUUGUAUUUGAUUCCCAGAACGUUGUAUUUGAUUCCCAGCAGGUUGUAUUUGAUUCCCAGAACGUUGUAUUUGAUUCCCAGCAGGUUGUAUUUGAUUCCCAGCAGGUUAACACGUUGUCUUGUAUAUGAUUCCCAGAACGUUGUAUUUGAUUCCCAGAACGUUGUAUUUGAUUCCCAGCAGUGAAAACAGUAAAGAGGAUUUAUUGUUUUGAUAAUCCUAGGUGAAUGUUAGCCUGGGUACCAGGCCUGUUUGUGCUGUCGUUCCACUCCUUGCCUCUGCUUGUCAAAUGCCAAGGAGUGGAAUCACAGCUAAUAGCAUGUCUGGUAGCCAGGCUAGGUAAAGCCAAUGUCACAGUGACAUCUCAUUGUCAUGUAUAGAGGCACAGAUUCCUGCAGAACUCAUGAUGAUGAGUAUGUCACUAUUAUACAUGGUGAAAUGACAUGUUCUGUGUCUUCAUCUCCGAUACUUAUUUAAAGUGUAUUUAUUUAUUUUUUUGUCUCUGAUUUUAACGUUUAUAUGUUGAAAGUGUGAAAGAUAAUGGAGGGAACGCGGUAUACAUGCAACCAAACAUAAACCGUCUGUACAUAUCUAUAUAUAUAUAUACUGGAUGGCUGGUUUAAAAUACAUGUAUUAAAUCUCAUGGGAUUGUUUGUGGAUGAGUCUGAGAAUAUGUAACUCUUCCAUCUAAUACACACGAUUGUGUUAUUUGAUUACUAUAUCCAAAAUACCUGUUAUAAUCAUGCUGUAUUACCUCAAUAAAGCACAACUCUAACUUGGAAA